GAGUUUGAUCCUGGCUCAGAACGUACGCUGGCGGCACGCCUAACACAUGCAAGUCGAACGAAGUAGCAAUACUUAGUGGCAGACGGGUGAGUAACAUGUAGGUAUCUGCCCUUUGGCCUGGAAUAACACGAGGAAACUUGUGCUAAUACCGGAUAAGUCUUUACGGAGAAAGCUUUAUGCACCAUUGGAUGAGCCUGCACUUGAUUAGUUUGUUGGUGGGGUAAUGGCCUACCAAGACUUUGAUCAAUAGCUGAUUUGAGAGGAUGAUCAGCCACAUUGGGACUGAGACACGGCCCAAACUCCUACGGGAGGCAGCAGUGGGGAAUCUUGCACAAUGGAGGAAACUCUGAUGCAGCGAUGCCGCGUGAGUGAAGAAGGCCCUUGGGUUGUAAAGCUCUUUCGUCGGGGAAGAAAAUGACUGCACCCGAAUAAGAAGGUCCGGCUAACUUCGUGCCAGCAGCCGCGGUAAUACGAAGGGACCUAGCGUAGUUCGGAAUUACUGGGCUUAAAGAGUUCGUAGGUGGUUGAAAAAGUUGGUGGUGAAAUCCCAGAGCUUAACUCUGGAACUGCCAUCAAAACUUUUCAGCUAGAGUAUGAUAGAGGAAAGCAGAAUUUCUAGUGUAGAGGUGAAAUUCGUAGAUAUUAGAAAGAAUACCAAUUGCGAAGGCAGCUUUCUGGAUCAUUACUGACACUGAGGAACGAAGGCAUGGGUAGCGAAGAGGAUUAGAUACCCUCGUAGUCCAUGCCGUAAACGAUGUGUGUUAGACGUUGGAAAUUUAUUUUCAGUGUCGCAGCAAAAGCGAUAAACACACCGCCUGGGGAGUACGACCGCAAGGUUAAAACUCAAAUGAAUUGACGGGGACCCGCACAAGUAGUGGAGCAUGUGGUUUAAUUCGAAGAUACGCGCAGAACCUUACCAACACUUGACAUGUUCGUCGCGACUCUAAGAGAUUAGAGUUUUCGGUUCGGCCGGACGAAACACAGGUGCUGCAUGGCUGUCGUCAGCUCGUGUCGUGAGAUGUUGGGUUAAGUCCCGCAACGAGCGCAACCCUCACUUUUAGUUGCCAUCAUUUAGUUGGGCACUCUGAAAGAACUGCCAGUGAUAAGCUGGAGGAAGGUGGGGGUGACGUCAAGUCCUCAUGGCCCUUACGUGUUGGGCUACACACGUGCUACAAUGGUAUCUACAACAGGAAGCAAGACGGCGACGUCAAGCAAAUCCUUAAAAGAUACCUCAGUUCGGAUUGCACUCUGCAACUCGAGUGCAUGAAGCUGGAAUUACUAGUAAUCGUGGAUCAGCGUGCCACGGUGAAUGCGUUCCCGGGUCUUGUACACACCGCCCGUCACACCAUGGGAGUUGGUUCUACCUUAAGGCAAGGUUUUAAACCCUUGACCACGGUAUAGUCAGCGACUGGGGUGAAGUCGUAACAAGGUAACC
rnacentral:rRNA from 1 species